UACAGAGGGUGCGAGCGUUAAUCGGAAUUACUGGGCGUAAAGCGUGCGUAGACGGCUAUCUAAGUCGGGUGUGAAAGCCCCGGGCUCAACCUGGGAAUUGCAUUCGAGACUGAAUAGCUAGGGUACGGUAGAGGGAAGUGGAAUUUCCGGUGUAGCGGUGAAAUGCGUAGAUAUCGGAAGGAACAUCAGUGGCGAAAGCGACUUCCUGGACCAGUACCGACGUUCAGGCACGAAGGCGUGGGGAGCAAACAGG
rnacentral:rRNA from 1 species